rnacentral:rRNA from 1 species
CUACGGGCUGCAGCAGUGAGGAAUAUUGCACAAUGGGGGCAACCCUGAUGCAGCAACGCCGCGUGGAGGAUGACGCAUUUCGGUGUGUAAACUCCUUUUAUCAGAGAAGAACCAUGACGGUAUCUGAUGAAUAAGCUCCGGCUAACUCCGUGCCAGCAGCCGCGGUAAUACGGGAGGGAGCAAGCGUUAUUCGGAAUCACUGGGCGUAAAGGACGCGUAGGCCGGUCUGUAAGUCAGGUGUGAAAUGCAAUGGCUCAACCAUUGAACUGCACUUGAAACUGCGGACCUAGAGUAUGGAAGGGGCAGAUGGAAUUAGUGGUGUAGGGGUAAAAUCCGUAGAUAUCACUAGGAAUACCGAAAGCGAAGGCGAUCUGCUGGGACAUAACUGACGCUGAGGCGUGAAAGCGUGGGGAGCAAACAGGAUUAGAUACCCCUGUAGUC